AUCUCAGCUUAUGACAGAGACUAGUCGAGAGGGCCUGACUGAAGCAGCAUUGAACCGCUACAAUGCAGAUAAACCCUCCUUGUACAGCUUCCCUGCUUCCCAGAGCACGUAUGUCGCUGCUGAUGUAUCCACAGGCACCUCGGUGGCAGCAUCUUUUUUUGCCAGAAAUAUGCCUUCUAAUCUUUUCAGCCCACUUGAAUCCUGGUGUAACUGACGAAGUUGAAAUAAUCUUUGUCUUCUAAUACUCUUCAAUAAUUAGAAGAUUGAUUGGGAUGAGUAGUGGAAAUAAUGAAAUAACAAGAAAAUAAACUAUUUUCAAAUAACAUAUCUGAAUUUCAAAA